rnacentral:lncRNA from 10 species
GGCCACUGCAAAGCUGUGUGACCUUGGGCGAGUCACUUGGCCUCUCUGAGCCCCAGGCGCCUCCCCGGGAAAAAGAGGGAUAUGGUCCAAGGUGCUGAAAACUUCCUAACAAAACUCUUCAGCCGAAUCUGGCACGCCUGUGGUUCCAGCUACUGGGUAGACCGAGGCAGGAGGAUCGCUUGAGGCCAAGAGUUUAAGACCAACCUGGGCAACAUGGACCAGGCCUCAGGAAGGGCUUGGGGGCCUCAGAGGCAAAUGAGACCAGGUCCAUCGACCCUACAGAACUGACAACCUGGACUCCCCACUCUGAAGCAGGCAGGCUGCCUGAAGGAGGGGGCCUCCCUCAUAAGGAGAGGGCAGACGCUGA